CUUCUUCCUCUUGAAGUUUUCUCCUUUCUCUUGGUUUGCCAGGCUUCCUUUUAACGGUUGAAGGCUUUAGGAAUGGAAAGUCAGUUUGUGGUGGGAUGUUGUAAUUUGGAAUUGGAUGAAUGACUCCUUUGUAGGCCUUUACAUACUUCUCUACUGUGAAAUACUCGUGACAAAAGUCUUCAAGAUUGAGUCUCAUGUAUCCAAGUGCAAUGCAAGCAUGUUUACANNN
rnacentral:lncRNA from 1 species